AGGCUGCUCAUGCUGGAGGUAUGUUACUCUACAGUCUACUAUCAGGGAGCCAGGCUGCUCAUGCUGGAGGUAUGUUACUCUACAGUCUACUAUCAGGGAGCCAGGCUGCUCAUGCUGGAGGUGUGUUACUCUACAGUCUACUAUCAGGGAGCCAGGCUGCUCAUGCUGGAGGUAUGUUACUCUACAGUCUACUAUCAGGGAGCCAGGCUGCUCAUGCUGGAGGUAUGUUACUCUACAGUCUACUAUCAGGGAGCCAGGCUGCUCAUGCUGGAGGUAUGUUACUCUACAGUCUACUAUCAGGGAGCCAGGCUGCUCAUGCUGGAGGUAUGUUACUCUACAGUCUACUAUCAGGGAGCCAGGCUGCUCAUGCUCCUCUAACCUGUGAGAACAUCCUGAAACC